rnacentral:rRNA from 1 species
AUUGAACGCUAGCGGGAUGCUUUACACAUGCAAGUCGAACGAGUGGCGGAGGGGCGUGUUAUAUAGCGGAAUGUCCCCAGUAGGGGGGGAUAACUACUCGAAAGUGUGGCUAAUACCGCAUACUCGUGGAGCGGCACAUAUGGGAUUAGCUAGGUGGUGGGGUAAAGGCUCACCAAGGCAACGAUCCGUAGCUGGUUUGAGAGGACGACCAGCCAAACUGGGACUGAGACACGGCCCAGACGCCUACGGGAGGCAGCAGUGGGGAAUUUUGGACAAUGGGCGAAACCCUGAUCCAGCCAUCCCGCGUGUAUGAGAAGGCCUUCGGGUUGUAAAGUACUUUUGGCAGAGAGGCGGUACCGGCAGAAUAAGCACCGGCUAACUACGUGCCAGCAGCCGCGGUAAUUC